rnacentral:tRNA from 1 species
CCCCUGGUGGUUUAGUGGUUAGGAUGCGGCGCUCUCACCACCGUGGCCUGGAUUCGAUUCCCGGUCAGGGAA